AGUCGAGUCGGGUAGCUUGGGAAUGCUGCUCUAAUUGGUGGUAAAUCUCAUCAAAGGCUAAAUAACGGUGGGAGACCGAUAGUAAACAAGUACCGUGAGGGAAAGAUGACAAGCACUUUGAAAAGAGGGUGAAAAGAACCUGAAACCGUUACGGGGGAAGCGGAUUGCGUUGGAUUGAUGGGUGUUUGUGUGUUCAGCCAUGAACUUUGUUCUAGGUGCAUUGAUGCAGAUACUUAUCCGUCGUGGGUUUCUUGGCAACCGAUUUUGGGUUGCUAGAGGCUGAGGGCUCCCCUUUUUGGGUUGAGGACGGCGGAGUGACGACGCGAUACGACCCGUCUUGAAACACGGACCAAGGAGUCUAGCGCGGGUGCGAGUCGGAGGGUUUUAAAACCUGUGGGCGAAGUGAAAGCGAGUUUUGAUUCUAAAACUAGCAGUUUGAGGCGGCAUAGAAUCGUUGAUUCUAGGUCUGACCUGGAGCAGUUGCGCUGGGACCCGAAAGAUGGUGAACUAUGCCGGAGUAGGGCAAAGCCAGAAGAAAUUCUGGUGGAGGCUCGUAGCGGUGCUGACGUGCAAAUCGCUCGUCAAACUUGGGUAUAGGGGCGAAAGACUAAUCGAACCAUCUAGUAGCUGGUUCCCUCCGAAGUUUCUCUCAGGAUAGCGGGCCGACACGAGUUGUUUUGUGCGGUAAAGCGAAUGAUUAGCGCACUCGGGGACUAUAAGUCUUCGGGCGAUUCUCAAACUUUCAAUGCGCAAGGGUACCGGUGCUUAAUUGAGCGGUACCGAUAAAAACGUCGGCCCUGUGGGCCACUUUUGGUAAGC
rnacentral:rRNA from 1 species